rnacentral:rRNA from 1 species
GAUGAACUCUGGCGGCGUGCUUAACACAUGCAAGUCGAACGAAGCAAUCUAACGGAAGUUUUCGGAUGGAAGCUAGAUUGACUGAGUGGCGGACGGGUGAGUAACGCGUGGGUAACCUGCCUCACACUGGGGGACAACAGUUAGAAAUGACUGCUAAUACCGCAUAAGCGCACAGGACCGCAUGGUCCGGUGUGAAAAACUCCGGUGGUGUGAGAUGGACCCGCGUUUGAUUAGCUAGUUGGUGGGGUAACGGCCUACCAAGGCGACGAUCAAUAGCCGACCUGAGAGGGUGACCGGCCACAUUGGGACUGAGACACGGCCCAAACUCCUACGGGAGGCAGCAGUGGGGAAUAUUGCACAAUGGGGGAAACCCUGAUGCAGCGACGCCGCGUGAGUGAAGAAGUAUUUCGGUAUGUAAAGCUCUAUCAGCAGGGAAGAAAAUGACGGUACCUGACUAAGAAGCCCCGGCUAACUACGUGCCAGCAGCCGCGGUAAUACGUAGGGGGCAAGCGUUAUCCGGAUUUACUGGGUGUAAAGGGAGCGUAGACGGUAAAGCAAGUCUGAAGUGAAAGCCCGGGGCUCAACCCCGGGACUGCUUUGGAAACUGUUUAACUAGAGUGCUGGAGAGGUAAGCGGAAUUCCUAGUGUAGCGGUGAAAUGCGUAGAUAUUAGGAGGAACACCAGUGGCGAAGGCGGCUUACUGGACAGUAACUGACGUUGAGGCUCGAAAGCGUGGGGAGCAAAAAGGAUUAGAUACCCUGGUAGUCCACGCCGUAAACGAAGAAUACUAGGUGUGGGGGGCAAAGUCCUUCGGUGCCGUCGCAAACGCAAUAAGUAUUCCACCUGGGGAGUACGUUCGCAAGAAUGAAACUCAAAGGAAUUGACGGGGACCCGCACAAGCGGUGGAGCAUGUGGUUUAAUUCGAAGCAACGCGAAGAACCUUACCAAAUCUUGACAUCCCUCUGACCGGCGAGUAAUGUCGCCUUUCCUUCGGGACAGAGGAGACAGGUGGUGCAUGGUUGUCGUCAGCUCGUGUCGUGAGAUGUUGGGUUAAGUCCCGCAACGAGCGCAACCCUUAUCCUAAGUAGCCAGCAGUUCGGCUGGGCACUCUUGGGAGACUGCCAGGGAUAACCUGGAGGAAGGUGGGGAUGACGUCAAAUCAUCAUGCCCCUUAUGAUUUGGGCUACACACGUGCUACAAUGGCGUAAACAAAGAGAGGCGAGACCGCGAGGUGGAGCAAAUCUCAAAAAUAACGUCUCAGUUCGGACUGCAGGCUGCAACUCGCCUGCACGAAGCUGGAAUCGCUAGUAAUCGCGAAUCAGAAUGUCGCGGUGAAUACGUUCCCGGGUCUUGCACU